UACGUAGGCAGCGAGCGUUGUUCGGAGUUACUGGGCGUAAAGGGUGCGUAGGCGGUUGGUUAAGUUUGGUGUGAAAUCUCCCGGCUCAACUGGGAGGGUGCGCCGAAUACUGAAUGACUAGAGUGCGGGAGAGGAUAGUGGAAUUCCUGGUGUAGCGGUGAAAUGCGUAGAUAUCAGGAGGAACACCGGUGGUGUAGACGGCUAUCUGGACCGUAACUGACGCUGAGGCACGAAAGCGUGGGUAGCAAACAGG
rnacentral:rRNA from 1 species